UCUCCCAAAUAAACUGUUCAUCAUUUUUGCCCUCCUUUAGUGUCAUAACCUGGAUCUACCACAGCUUAUGAAGUCCGAGUCAGGCUGAUCUCUUUUGCCUGGGACUGGGCAGGUUGGAAACCAUAUGGAGUUGUCUCAUACAUCAGUCAGAAGAAAGAAAGCCAGCAGAAGAAAUUUCAGUGUAUAAACCCACUUGGAGAUCCCACCAUAGAACAUUUUGACCAUAUGUGAUUCCCUUCACUGGUGUGCACCUGGACAUCCUCUACCAUUUAAAGGAAUCUGCUGAAGUACUCCCAAGGCACUUCACCAAG